rnacentral:misc_RNA from 1 species
GAAAUGCGAUAAGUAAUGUGAAUUGCAGAAUUCAGUGAAUCAUCGAAUCUUUGAACGCACCUUGCUCUCCUUGGUAUUCCUUGGAGCAUGCCUGUUUGAGUAUCAUGAAAUCUUCAAAGUAAAUCUUUUGUUAACUCAAUUGGUUUCUACUUUGGUAUUGGAGGUCUUUGCAGCUUCACACCUGCUCCUCUUUGUUCAUUAGCUGAAUCUCAGUGUUAUGCUUGGUUCCACUCGGCGUGAUAAGUUAUCUAUCGCUGAGGACACUGUAAAAGGUGGCCAAGGUAAAUGCAGAUGAACCGCUUCUAAUAGUCCAUUGACUUGGACAAUACUUUUAUGAUCUGAUCUCAAAUCAGGUAGGACUACCCGCUGAACUUAAGC